UCUUAUGGAUGAGCAAAUAAAGUGGUUUCUUGACAUAGAAUCCACAGGUGAUGAAGAUUCUGUGAA
rnacentral:pre_miRNA from 1 species